UUUUUUUCUCUCUCUCUCCUCAAAGAUUAUAGAGGUAAAUUUCUGAUUGAUGCAUAGAUACCCAGGGACAGAUGUGCCAAAUUUGACACAUCUUCUAGUCCCAACAAAUAUAACAGUUGUGAUACCGGGCAUGUUGCUUUUUCCUUGGAAUCUAAAGGAUUCUUCUAAUAGCCAAACAAAGUCGUCACCUCUUCAGCAUGUUUCCCUAGGAUGGCAUGAAAAUCUAGGCAGCACAGAGUCCAGAGUCUGAGAACUUGACUCACCCUUGGCUACAGGCCAACUCUCGUCCUAAUACUGAUUUGUCAAAAUGGGACCUGAGACCAAAAUCACCCAAUCAACUGGCCACAGAUCUCCUCCACCUCCUUGACUUUUCUUGGGAGUCUGUAUUUUCUUCAGGAUGUGCAGACAGGAAGAAUCCUUUUCCUUCUGAUUCAAAUUGGGCAUAACAGCCGAGCAGAUGGUGCUGCUCUAGUGGAAACCAUCGAAGGUUUUCCUGGAGUGUAACAGGUUGGAGAAUGGCUCAUCGAGGGUGAAAACCAGAGGCUGCAAGUCCAGUUAGAACUUGCUGAAGUAGUCCAAGACUUGGAUUUCAGUAAUGGGAAUUUGAGAGAACUGAUGGAUUCUUAUGACAUCUAGAAAUGAAAUCCAACGGAAUUUGUGGAGUGAUUGAAUUUAGUGGAUUGGAGUAAAAGAUGGAAUCAAGAUGACUCAGUAAGACCUCAGAGUGGUAACCACAGACCAAAGUCUUCAAUUGCCCAUGCUGUCACCGAAGAAGAAAUCUGACACUUUUGACCACCAGCAGGAGCUGAGCAUACAGAUAUGUGGGACAUGAAGACUCUGCCAACCUAGUGAGCUAGAAACCAGAGCCAGCAGCAAACACACAGAGUCCUCUUGUAAUCUCCUGUAAUGAGGUCCAGUGUCUCCCAGCUUCCCAUGGGAUAGUUCACUCUGAUCCAGUUGCCCAAAAUAGCAAUUUAACUUUUAGUGAGUGCAGGUUGGAUUUCAUUUGUAAAUGGUAACAGAAAAGGAUAAUGCUGAAGAAGUCACCAAUAUAUUGUCUCCCUCCUAUUUCUAAUCAUUAUAGUCUCACUACUCCUUCCCAACAUAUAUAGGAGACAUAUGAUUGGAAACGGAGACCUUCUUCAUAAAAACCUAGAAUUCCUAAACUGUAAAGAAAAUAUACAAAUGUUGUCAAUUUCUAUCCUUCUAAAGUAAGACCACAUGCAGGAAAACAUUUUGGUAAACUCCUAAGAGCUACAUCACGAGCUGUUGUCAUCGCUUUAGAAAUAUGCAUAUGGCAUUUCUUCAUGAAUUUUAUAAGCCAAUACUGGUUCUCUUUCAUUAUCUGAAUUUAAUUUUUUAAAUCUGUUUUUAUUAUGCCACUGUUAAUUUUGCUAAAAUAGUCUUAGUCAGCUUGUGCUGCUAUGACAAAAUACCCUAGACAGAAGUGGCUCAAGCCACAGAUGUAUAUUUUUUCAUAGUUCUGGAGGCCAGAAGUCCAAGAACAAGAUGCUGAUAGAUCUGGUUCCUGGUGAGAAUGCCUUCCUGAUGUACAGACAGUCAUCUUUUUGGUGUAUCCUCACAUGGGAGAGGGAGAGUGAGCAAGUAAGUGCUGGUCCCUCUUUUUUGGCUCAUAAUGACACCAGUCCCAUCAUGGGGGUUCUGCCUUCAUGACGUCAUAAGUACCUUCCAAAGUCCCCAACUCCAAACGCCAUCACAUUGAGGGUUAGGGCUUCCACCUAUGAAUUGGGAAUGGGUGGCACACAUUCAGUUCCUACAAAUAAUAAUGUGUUUUGAAACAAUAGCCUUUGUUCACCUUACAAAAUCCUAACUAUUCUAUAAAUUAAAGAGCAGAUAAUGCAGAAUGCUUUAUUCUGAAUAGUCACAAGGGCAUGAAAUGUUUGUUUUGUUGUUAUAAAAAGCCUAAAUAUGUUUUUAAAACCAAUGUGGUGAGAAACCUAGUUUUUA